CCAUUGGAUGACAAAGAAAUGGUCUCCUUCAUCCUCGCUGGCCUCGACAUUGAUUUCAAUCCUCUUGUGUCCGCCAUCGUGGCAUGAGUCGAACCCAUCUACGUUGCUGAGCUUUAUGCACAGCUUCUGGCUUUGAGG